AGACUGUUCAGAAUCCUGCCGGAAGUUAAGCUUGUGAGAAGCAAGGGCUCACAGACUCCACCUCCCCAACCCCAGCGCACUGCCCGGUCAGAAGUGAGGAUGUAGUUAGGAGGGUAGUGGGAAGGCACAAACUCUGUCCCUUCAGUCCCCACCCCUGAGGCCCCCAACAGGGCCUUCCCUUGUCCCUCUGUGCCAUUGCCUUUGAGACCCUGAAGUUCUAAGCAGGACUUCGGAUCUUCCAGAAUAGGGCUCAGAAAUGUAUAAACAAAGAUGGGCUAAGACAGUAGAUGUUAAUGACUUUAUAACUCCUCCCCCAGCUCCAAUCAGGUCUUCUAUCACUUUGUUAACAAAAAUCUAGAUUUACCAUCUUGCCGGACGCUGUGCUAGGGCCUACAGGAAAAUACAAAGAGUAACAAGAUCCCAACUGUUCUGAACUGUGUGCCCCGCACACAAAGUCCAUGCACUGUACGCCCUACCCCCGUGUGACCGUUUACGGCAAUAGAGCCCUUGAGGUGAUUAAGGUUAAAUGAGGUCAUGAGUUUAGGUUCCUCAAGGUUAAGACUAGUAUCCUUUUAAGAAGAGAAGAGAGACACUGGGAGUGCAGGGGCAUGGAAACAGGAAAGGCCACAGUGAGAAGUCAGCAUCAGGCAAGCCCUGGGGUGAGAUCUCUGAGAAACCCACCCCAUGGACAUCUCAGGACGUCUUGUCUUCAACGCCUUUCCUAAUAGAACUCAAAAUUCAGAGGAAAGGACAGAAAGCUGGUGCCCUGGACCUGGUCACACUCAAAUGGCUCUGAUACUUCUCUGCAGAAAAACGAAAAACCUUUGACAGAAUCAGUCAGAGUCUUCCUCCCUGCCCAAGCGCUGUGGCAAACAUUUCUGUAGAAUUCAACCUAUGUGCUCCAUGCACUCAUUUACUGCUGUAGUUGGAAUGCAGGUUCUACUGUCCUAGUCCAGAUUGUUCUAACUUGCCCCAAACUGACCAAACAAAAUAUGGUGGUCUGUUUCCCUUCGCUUUUGGAGCUUUGCAAGGUAAGAUGAUGGAUGUGAUGACUGAGUAGCAGCAAAAAAAAAAAAAACUUCACCAACAUUCAAGUCAUAAAACUCUUUUUUAAGUUUCUUCUGCAACUACGAGAUGUACGACUGCAGAUUGGCACAGUUUUCAGCUCACUAAGGAGUUUCUGGCAAUCAGAGGUGUUUUUAAAGGGAAGACGCUGCCUCGGGAUGCAAUGAACCCAUCAGUGGAAGGGUUUCAUGCAGAAAGGAAGCUGCCAGGAAGUGUUCUCUCCAGUUCAACACAGUUAUUAAGCACUUGUUGCAUGCACAUGUCUACAACUGAACAGUGAUUCCUCCAUUGUGCGGGAGGUUGAGUGUGACAGUCCCAUCAAACCCUUUCAAGAUUCUAUUAAUGUUUUUACCAUUUGGAUCAAAACCUUUUUCAUAUAAACUAACAAGAAGUUUCA